GACGAACGCUGGCGGCGUGCUUAACACAUGCAAGUCGAACGGAAAGGCCCUGCUUUUGUGGGGUGCUCGAGUGGCGAACGGGUGAGUAACACGUGAGUAACCUGCCCUUGACUUUGGGAUAACUUCAGGAAACUGGGGCUAAUACCGGAUAGGAGCUCCUGCUGCAUGGUGGGGGUUGGAAAGUUUCGGCGGGUGGGGAUGGACUCGCGGCUUAUCAGCUUGUUGGUGGGGUAGUGGCUUACCAAGGCUUUGACGGGUAGCCGGCCUGAGAGGGUGACCGGCCACAUUGGGACUGAGAUACGGCCCAGACUCCUACGGGAGGCAGCAGUGGGGAAUAUUGCACAAUGGGCGGACGCCUGAUGCAGCAACGCCGCGUGCGGGAUGACGGCCUUCGGGUUGUAAACCGCUUUCGCCUGUGACGAAGCGUGAGCGACGGUAAUGGGUAAAGAAGCACCGGCUAACUACGUG
rnacentral:rRNA from 1 species